UAGAUUCUUUCAUGUAUUUGAAGAAAUCUAGAAAGGAAAGAGCAACAGGAAGAUUGAAAACUAAGACCUACAGUACGAUUGAGAACUUGGCAAGAUAAUACAGUAUCAAGGCACAACUGCAAAUUCAUUGCAACAAUAAGCCUGUCAAAAACGUCGGCUUGAACUAAACUUCAAGGCUGAAUAUCCUUGGUCAGAGGAAGUAGGAGAACAUACGGGAGGCCUCUACAUAAAACCCUAGGAUCUGUGGCUCAAAUGUAUUUUGGAAAAGAAGCUGGGUGGCAAGAAAGAAACAGCAGAUUUGAAUAGCAGUGAGAACUUCCAUGCUUUCUGAGAGCUACGAGACAGUGAAAACACAGCUCUCAAUAAUACUUAGUUUUAAUUAUUUUCUAUUGCUGUAAAUAUUCUGUACUUAAAUAGGAAGAAAGCUCAUAGAUUUUUUUUCCCCCUCUUUCACUUAAAUAGGUCAUUGUCUACAAACCUGGCUAGGACCAUUCUUACUUGAGGAUGCAGGUGGCACCAUCUGUCCUUAGGAGCUCUGUGCCAGACAGUUCUGGCUUCACUUUGUAUGUGAAUUUUAUUCCUGCAUAAAAUUGCAAUAUGCAGAUCCUGUGAAAAUAACUCUGCCCAAAAGACUCACAAAUGCACAUAGUGUACAAGAUAACAAAGACUGCAAGGAUUAAUUUUAUUGAAUAAAAAAAUGCAAAAUUCUUUUUGAUGUUUUCCCUUGCAGUACCUCAAUCAGAAUUUAAAGUUAUGUCCCAGGGAAAUAUGGGGAUCCUUUAAGCAGGGUUUUGUUUUCCUGAAGAGUACAAACAUUGUCUACCUAGUACCUCUUUCUAGGUAGCCUGAGAACAAAACUUCUCUUUUGUGGCAGAGACUGAUGAGACAAAACAACACAGAAUUCACCUUCUGUACCUGCACUUCCAGCUCUCCAGGAUGAGCCUCCUACUUACUCCAGACAUUCAGAACACGGCCAUUCCAGACCAGGAGUCUCCAAAAAUAAAUCAACUUAGUUUGGGUGCUGACCAUGAUGAACCUGCUGCUCUCCACAAAGUCAGCUGGGCAACUGCCUUGGAGAGGCAGGACCCAGAUGGCCUCUGAGGCCAUUUUCCAGAUCUCUUUCCCACCAGAUGGAGAUCCUGAGCUGGUCUUCCCCAAGGUCCUCUGCCUCCACAUUGGCGCAGGGGCAUGGAAUGGAGGAUUCACAGAAGUGCUUUUUCAUAAGAAAACAGCAGAAGACUCUGUUGUGUUAAAAAUUUUGUCCUAAAAUUAGUCCACCAAGCUGUAGGUGUCCAGUAGCAAGCUCCCUAUUCAUCAGAAUAGGGAAUGUUUUUUAGGAAAAAACUCUGGUGCAGCAGGACACCAGACUGGUAAAAGGAUUAACUAUUAAAAGUAUUUAUCAGUAGAGUGUAUCUGGUCUCAGUUACACCCUCUGACGCCACUGAAGUCCACUGAACUUAGUCACGGGGAAACACAGCAGAGAUCCACUGGGAUUAAACUCUCAGUUACAUCCACGCAGCCCCAGUGGAUUCAGUGAAGAUGCAAAAACAUACACGGUGGCAAAAGUUGGCUUGUUGCUAUGUAUCCAGAUGCAGGUGGCACCAUAUGCAAUGGGUUUCCAGUCACUUGGCAGAUGUUCACAGCUGUCCGAGAGCAGAGAAAAACUCACAUAGUUAACUCACAUUUGGGCAGCAGUUUGAGAAAAAAUUUACAUUUGUUUUGUUUUUCGGUUUGCUGAUGUUAUUUGUCACUUUGAAGUUUGCUGUUAAUUUUGGAAAGAAUAAAGAAGCCCCCUGAAAACCCAAACCUA